rnacentral:lncRNA from 1 species
GGGAAAAUUAAAGAUAUAAUUGCAUUAUUAUAUUGCUCUGAAUACUCUUUUGUUCAUAAACAGUUCCUGUCCAACUUUCGUAAAAUUUCACGGAAAGUCAUUCAAAAGACUUUAUCCACAUUCGGAACCUAAAUGUUGACGCCGCUUUGUCUCGCUUUUGGGACAUAAAUCACUGGCUCGACAAAACUACAAACAGCAUAUCGAAUC